CGGCCUUCGGGUUGUAAACCUCUUUCAGUAGGGAAGAAGCGAAAGUGACGGUACCUGCAGAAGAAGCGCCGGCUAACUACGUGCCAGCAGCCGCGGUAAUACGUAGGGCGCAAGCGUUAUCCGGAAUUAUUGGGCGUAAAGAGCUCGUAGGCGGUUUGUCGCGUCUGCCGUGAAAGUCCGGGGCUCAACUCCGGAUCUGCGGUGGGUACGGGCAGACUAGAGUGAUGUAGGGGAGACUGGAAUUCCUGGUGUAGCGGUGAAAUGCGCAGAUAUCAGGAGGAACACCGAUGGCGAAGGCAGGUCUCUGGGCAUUAACUGACGCUGAGGAGCGAAAGCAUGGGGAGCGAACAGGAUUAGAUACCCUGGUAGUCCAUGCCGUAAACGUUGGGCACUAGGUGUGGGGGACAUUCCACGUUUUCCGCGCCGUAGCUAACGCAUUAAGUGCCCCGCCUGGGGAGUACGGCCGCAAGGCUAAAACUCAAAGGAAUUGACGGGGGCCCGCACAAGCGGCGGAGCAUGCGGAUUAAUUCGAUGCAACGCGAAGAACCUUACCAAGGCUUGACAUGGACCGGACCGCCGCAGAGAUGUGGUUUCCCCUUUGGGGCCGGUUCACAGGUGGUGCAUGGUUGUCGUCAGCUCGUGUCGUGAGAUGUUGGGUUAAGUCCCGCAACGAGCGCAACCCUCGUUCUAUGUUGCCAGCACGU
rnacentral:rRNA from 1 species